AGCCGAAACGGGGCUGCGGCCCCGUCCGCUGGGGAUGGCCUCCCCGCGCUGAUGAUGGCAGGCCAAC
rnacentral:hammerhead_ribozyme from 2 species